GUCUUUUUGAUAAUAAUUUAAAGUCUAACCUGCCCACUGAAAAUUUUUGAAGGGCCGCGGUAUUUUGACUGUGCAAAGGUAGCAUAAUCAUUAGUCUUUUAAUUGAAGGCUUGUAUGAAUGGUUGGAUGAGGUAUUAACUGUCUCAAUUUAAUAAAUAAUAGAAUUUUAUUUUUAAGUUAAAAAGCUUAAAUAAUUUUAAAAGACGAGAAGACCCUAUAGAUCUUUAUAUAUUAAUUUUUAAUAAUUUUUUAGUUUAAAUUUAUUUUUAUUUGUUAGGGUAUUGAAUUGGGGUGAUUAAAAAAUUUAGUAAACUUUUUUUUAUUAGUUAACAAUGAUUUUUGAAUAGUUGAUCCAUUUUUUGUGAUUAUAAGAUUAAGUUACCUUAGGGAUAACAGCGUAAUUUUUUUGGAGAGUUCUUAUCGAUAAAAAAGAUUGCGACCUCGAUGUUGAAUUAAAGGUUAAUUUUAGGUGUAGAAGUUUAAAAUUUUGGUCUGUUCGACCAUUGAAUC
rnacentral:rRNA from 1 species